GUGAAGACUAGUACAAAGAAAAUUCACUGUAUAAACAUCCUGCCCAAGAAAGGAAGGUUCGCCCAUACUCCAUCUACAGAAUUUAGUCCUUUGUAGCCACAUACAGUAUGCUACAGAACAAUUUGGAAAAGGUUCAUCUAUCAAGUUUAACAACUUUCUGGUGUAACUUCAGAGAGGUUUAUUGCUUAUUCAUGUGGAAGAGCUUUCUGAAACCAAAAUUUCUCUUUGAGGACAGCUGGUCCAUGCCCCUGAGGAAAAAGAUGCUUAUGUCAAGGCUGAGGACUGACCCUGAACCUUCCAGGCCCUGGAAGAUUUUCUGUCCUCAGGGAAUGUGAGGAAGUGUGGACACAAAGGGAGAGACUUGAACUAUUUCUCCAGGAAAAAAAGAUUGCGCCUGUUCUUAGCACAUGAUGAGAGGAUUGUGAAGACAGUGAUGGAACAUACAUCAAAAACCUGUUGCUUCAUGC